rnacentral:rRNA from 1 species
UACGUAGGGGGCUAGCGUUGUCCGGAAUCAUUGGGCGUAAAGAGCGUGUAGGCGGUCCGGUCAGUCGGUUGUGAAAGUCAAGGGCUCAACCCUUAAUGCCGGCCGAUACUGCCGGGCUAGAGUCCGGAAGAGGUGAGUGGAAUUCCUGGUGUAGCGGUGAAAUGCGCAGAUAUCAGGAGGAACACCGAUGGCGAAGGCAGCUCACUGGGACGGUACUGACGCUGAGACGCGAAAGCGUGGGGAGCAAACAGG